rnacentral:rRNA from 1 species
AUGAUCUGAAGUCAAGUGGGAUUACCCGCUGAACUUAA